rnacentral:rRNA from 1 species
GAUGAACGCUAGCGAUAGGCUUAACACAUGCAAGUCGAGGGGCAGCAUGGUCUUAGCUUGCUAAGGCUGAUGGCGACCGGCGCACGGGUGCGUAACGCGUAUGCAACUUGCCUCACAGAGGGGGAUAACCCGUCGAAAGACGGACUAAUACCGCGUACACUCUAUGUUGGGCAUCCAAUGUAGAGGAAAUGAAAUUCGCUGUGAGAUAGGCAUGCGUCCCAUUAGCUAGUUGGUGAGGUAACGGCUCACCAAGGCGACGACGGGUAGGGGAACUGAGAGGUUGAACCCCCACACUGGUACUGAGACACGGACCAGACUCCUACGGGAGGCAGCAGUGAGGAAUAUUGGUCAAUGGGCGAGAGCCUGAACCAGCCAAGUCGCGUGAAGGAUGACUGUCUUAUGGAUUGUAAACUUCUUUUAUACGGGAAUAACAAGAGUCACGUGUGGCUCCCUGCAUGUACCGUAUGAAUAAGCAUCGGCUAACUCCGUG